rnacentral:lncRNA from 1 species
GGUUUUUCGAGGCAGGGUUUCUCUGUGUAGCCCUGGCUGUCCUGGAACUCACUCUGUAGACCAGGCUGACCUCGAACUCAGAAAUCUGCCUGCCUCUGCCUCCCGAGUGCUGGGAUUAAAGGCGUGCGCCACCACGCCCGGCUCUUGGUCUACAGAGUUCUAGGACAACCAGGACGACAUAGUGAGGCCCUGUUUCAAAAAAAAAAAAAAAAAGAAAAAACAAACAAAAAAGAAACAAAAGUGUAUGUGUGUGUUUGUGUGUUUUGCUUGUGUCACAUGCAUGCAUUGCCUUUAGAGGCCAGAAGAGGGCAUCAGAUCCUUUGGAACUGGAGUUACAGAGGGUUGUAGGUCAGUCACCAUGUGAGUGCUAGGAAUCAAACCAGAGUCCUCUGCAAGAAUAGCUAGUGAGUAAGCUUUGUUGGUCACGGUGCUUAUCGUGCCCCAUACAUCCACCUUCCCACCACUACCUCAUGCCCACCACCUCUGUAAGGAGCUCCCCCAUACCCACCACCUCUGUAAGGAGAUACACACACACACACACACACGCCCUCCACCUCUGUAAGGAGGCUCUUUCCCCCCACAUACCCACCACCUCUGUAAGGAGCCCCUCACACACACAUGCCCACCAUCUCUGUAAGGAGCCACACACACACAUAUGCCCUCCACCUCUGUAAGAAGACACACACACAUGCCCUCCACCUCUCUAAGGAGGCUCUCUUCCCCCACAUACCCACCACCUCUGUAAGGAGGCCCCCUACCCCCACAUACCCACCACCUCUGUAAGGAGCCCCUCACACACACAUGCCCACCACCUCUGUAAGAAGACACACACACACAUGCCCUCCACCUCUGUAAGAAGACACACACACACAUGCCCUCCACCUCUGUAAGGAGGCCCUCUCCCCCCACAUACCCACCACCUCUGUAAGGAGCCCCCCAGCCCCCACAUGUCCACUACCUCUGUAAGGAGCUCUCCUAUACCCACCACCUCUGUAAGGAGGCCCACACACACACAUGCCUCUACCACCUCUGUAAGGAGGCAGAUUCUCUUGGGAUCUUGCUGCUUCCAGUCUGUUUUUUUUCCUUCAGGCGUUUCCCAUGGUAAAGGGGUGAUGGAGAGCUCAGAUCUGUAGAGGCACGGGCCACUCUGGCUGAACUAACCUUUGAUUGCCAGGUAACAGGCCAGAGCCCAAGCAGUGGUUUUAAUCCCGAGGUUCCCUGUGAGGAGGCAGGGGGAGGGGCUCUUGCCCCUAGCCCUGGGGUUUGCUUUGACUUGGGAAACCUUCACCAGAAUGUGCUCCAGCUUGGCUAUUCUUGUAGUCAAGAGCUCAGUUAAAAGGAACAUUAUUACCCUGGCCAAAGAAACUAACCUGAUACAUUCCUUACAGAUACAUGAAGACUGGCUGGAGGCAGGAGGACAGAUAGACAGACUGGCAGUAGCCUGAGACUGGAGACUCCUCAGGUGACUUUAUCCACUCACUGAACACCGUGACAAAGAGGUCAGGAGAAGGUUACUCAAGGGGAGAGACAACACACACACACACACACACACACACACACACACACACACACACACACACACGGUAAGAAUGUUUAUUGCUCUUCCAGAGGACCUCAGUUCAGUUCCAGGCACUUAUGUGAGGCGCUCACGACCUCCUGUAACACCGCUCCGCAUGAGCCAACGCCCUGCCCUCUUUGGCCUGAGGGCAAUUGGACUCAUUAGCACACACACAUAAUUUCAAAUAAAGUAGAGAUGUGAUGAAUAAAACAGGUUGGGUGGGGAGGGGGCAAACACUUGUAGUCUCAGAGAGUUCAAGGUCUCAGUUGGCAGAGUGCUCGCCUAGCACAAAGUCCUGAGCUUCAUCCCCAGCAGUCCAUAAAACAGUUAUCUUCAGCUACAUAGCAGAUUCAAGGCUAGUUUGGGAUACAUGAGACCCUAUCUCAAGACAAAACAAAACAAAAAAUUCCCUCUAUCCUGCUUCCAUCCUCCCCCAAAAAGAAAGAAACGAAGCAGUUGAAACCCCUAACGGUAGAAGCAACAGGCUGCGACAAUACACACAUUGAAUUGCAUGUGUGUAUUGUGUGUAUAGGAAACAGAGGAGAGAGCUUAACUUGCACCAGCCGGUUCUGUUCCACUGCCUGAGGCCCAGGGAUGGAUCUGAGGCAGGCUUUUUGGAAGCAGCUUUGCACCCUAACCCAUCUUGUGUGUGGCCUUUAUUUCCUUUAGGGAGAGCCCUAAGGGUCCUAGGGAGUGAGUGGUGCAGCCCCACCCUGAGCAGUCCCUCACCGAUGGACUACUAGGGUUUUAAUUCCUCUGGGACACAAUGUGAUGGGCACUGCGAAUUGGCCCACCUCCUUUGUAACUGCUGACUGCGAUGAAACCCAAUUGAACAGCCUGAACUCUAGGAUGAAUUUCUAGCCGUGACCCUUCCACUCACCCUUCUGAGUGACAGGACACUCCUGGCAACUUUUCCACCAGAAAAUAGCCAUCCAGGGGAUUGCUGUGCCCACAAAGUACUUCCCUUCAAAGUCUCAGGAGGGCAGAGCUCUGGGCUCAGGGUGGAGCCCAGUCUGUACAGCGCUUGCCCGGUAUGUCUGGCUUGCCUAGUUACACAGAAACUGGGCUUGGUGGGACAUGCCCAGUGAUUUCAGCUCCAGGGAGUUAGCGGCAGGAGGAUCACAAGUUCAAGGUCAUCCUGGGCUACUAAAGGAGUAAGUAAGAAAGGGAAGUCAGCCUGGAAUGCAUUAGAACGGUAAGGGGGGUGGGGCGGAGAAAGGAAGAGAGAAGAGGAGAGGGAGGAGAGGAAGAGAGGAGAGGAAAGGAGAGAAGAGGACAGAGGAGGUAGAGAGGAGGAGGGGAAGAAAAGAGACCGGGUGGUAGACACCUGACCCAGGCGGACAAGUCAGAUUCUCUUGGGAAUUUGAAACCUGAACGCAAAGACUCAGCCUAGUGGCCAGCGCAGCAGCAGCAGCAGUAUCCAAACCACGGUGUUUUAGAAAGAAGGUCCGGGCUGCCCAGGAUCCUGCCUGUCUGCUGUAGUAGCUCUUCCUCUUGACCUCUGAGCCACCCCAGUGUCCUUCCAAAACGUAGCUCUUGGUCUUGGUGGGCAGAGUAGCUUCCUAGCCCUGAAAAUCAAACAAAACACUAAGCCACAC